GAACUUUUAUUUUAACCCACCCCUCCUCCCUCUACUCUCAAUCCCCCCUCACGAACUAACCCCGAGUCCCCUUCAGCUGUAAGACUUACCGAGCAGCAGUAACUUGAGUUCUCGCCGUGCAUCCCGCUUGUCUCUCCGGAGCUGCCUCUCGAUCUCCGCGUUGAUCCUUUUGGCUUCUUUCGCCUCUUCGCUCAGGCAGCACGCCAUGAUGGAGUCGAGAGUCAUGUAGCCGACUGUUUCCUUGGGCUUGACUCUUCGUUCGAAACCAUUGUAAUUACACAAUUACAUGACGUUAUUGGCAAGCCGGUCUCCUGAAUGCUCAUGGUCACAGCACUGAAACAGGAAAGAGCCAUAAACCCAAUAGAAUUUUUUAAAAUGAAUCAAAUGCAAUGAGCAUCAACAUCUGUGAAUAAUGCAAAUCAACAACAGGCUGAAACAGCUAAACAACAACCCAUUGCAGUCAAACAGAGAUGGAAAGAGAGAGGACAUGUUUCCCACAUCCUACAUAGCCAUAAUAUAUUGUCUCCCAUCUUUGCCACAUACUCUGUGGUGGAUUGAAUUGUUUCAAUUCUAUAUAUAAAUCAAGAGUAAAUGUUUGCAGUCACUUUUCCACUUUAACCAUCAUCUGCUGAUGGUUGCUUGGCACAGCCUGUAAUCAAUGUAAUUAUCUUUCAUUCUUUACAAAGUAGAGGCCAUUAAACUCAUAUCAGUUGUACUGUGA